CUACGGGUCGCAGCAGUGGGGAAUAUUGGACAAUGGGGGAAACCCUGAUCCAGCAAUGCCGCGUGUGUGAAGAAGGCCUGCGGGUUGUAAAGCACUUUCGGUUGGGAGGACUGCUUCUAGCACUAAUAUUGUUGGAAGUUGACGUUACCUUCAGAAGAAGCACCGGCUAGCUCCGUGCCAGCAGCCGCGGUAAUACGGAGGGUGCAAGCGUUAAUCGGAAUUACUGGGCGUAAAGCGCGCGUAGGCGGCUAGAUCAGUCGGGUGUGAAAGCCCCGGGCUUAACCUGGGAACUGCAUCCGAUACUGUCUAGCUUCAGUACAGGAGAGGAGAGUGGAAUUCCACAUGUAGCGGUGAAAUGCGUAGAUGUGUGGAGGAGCACCAAUGGCGAAGGCAGCUCUCUGGCCUGAUACUGACGCUGAGGUGCGAAAGCGUGGGGGGCAAACAGGAUUAGAUACCCGUGUAGUC
rnacentral:rRNA from 1 species